GUCUAUGGCCAUGCUACCCUGAACAUGCCUGAUCUUGUCUGAUCUCAGAAGCUAAGCAGGGUCGGGCCCCUGGUUAGUACUUGGAUGGGAGGCCACCUAGGAAUACCAGGUAUAUUCUAGGGG
ensembl:rRNA 5S_rRNA 5S ribosomal RNA